UGGGGAAUAUUGGACAAUGGGCGAAAGCCUGAUCCAGCCAUGCCGCGUGUGUGAAGAAGGUCUUCGGAUUGUAAAGCACUUUAAGUUGGGAGGAAGGGCAUUAACCUAAUACGUUAGUGUUUUGACGUUACCGACAGAAUAAGCACCGGCUAACUCUGUGCCAGCAGCCGCGGUAAUACAGAGGGUGCAAGCGUUAAUCGGAAUUACUGGGCGUAAAGCGCGCGUAGGUGGUUUGUUAAGUUGGAUGUGAAAUCCCCGGGCUCAACCUGGGAACUGCAUUCGAAACUGACUGACUAGAGUAUGGUAGAGGGUGGUGGAAUUUCCUGUGUAGCGGUGAAAUGCGUAGAUAUAGGAAGGAACACCAGUGGCGAAGGCGACCACCUGGACUAAUACUGACACUGAGGUGCGAAAGCGUGGGGAGCAAACA
rnacentral:rRNA from 1 species